rnacentral:rRNA from 1 species
GCGGUUUGGCACCUCGAUGUCGGCUCAUCACAUCCUGGGGCUGAAGCAGGUCCCAAGGGUACGGCUGUUCGCCGUUUAAAGUGGUACGCGAGCUGGGUUUAAAACGUCGUGAGACAGUUUGGUCCCUAUCUUCUGUGGGCGUAGGAGACUUGAGAGGGCCUGUCCCUAGUACGAGAGGACCGGGAUGGACGCACCCCUGGUGGUCCUGUUGUCACGCCAGUGGCACAGCAGGGUAGCUAUGUGCGGAAGGGAUAACCGCUGAAAGCAUCUAAGCGGGAAGCCUGCCUCAAGAUAAGGUCUCCCUCUCUUCGGAGCUGAAGGGCCCGGGUAGACAACCCGGUUGAUAGGCUGGAGGUAUACAUGCGGUGACGCAUUCAGCUGACCAGUACUAAUAGCCCGUGCGCCUUGUUUUC